GUUGUUUCUUCUACUUAAGGUAUGAAUCAGAAUGAUGAGGCCAAGUUGUGAAUACACAAGUGUCAACGGACUAUAAUAUAUAUUGAAUUUGUGACAUUAGAAGGGUGUAAUAAUAACAAUAAUGGAGUCAUAUUAUUUUCAUAUAGGAUUUAAAUA